GGCUCAAUGGUCUAGUGGUAUGAUUCGUGCUUCGGGAUUCAUCCCAUUACCUGGUCAAACGGGUUACAUGAAUGUGCGAGGUCUCGGGUCCAAUCCCCGAUUGAGCCC